rnacentral:rRNA from 1 species
CUCCGGUCGUUUUUUUUUGACCGGACUGCUACAGAAUGGGAACUAGGCCAUGUUUAGUCAUUGUACCAAUACAUGGUCGGACGGCUCAGUAACACGUAGUCAACCUAACCCGUGGACGCGGAUAACCUCGGGAAACUGAAAAUAAACCGCGAUAGAUCAUUAUGCCGGGAAGGGUUUAUGGUCCAAACAGUUUACUGCCAUGGGAUGGCACCGCCCCCUAUCAUUUUGUUGGAGAGGAAAUGGCCCCCCAACGCUAUACACGGCACGGUCUCUGAGAGGAGAACCCCGGAUAUGGCCACUGAGACACGGACCCAGGCCCUAUGGGGCGCAACAGGCGAAAAACCUUACCAAUGUGCAAAAGCACGACUGGGUCACCCCGAGUGAUCCCUGAUAAAGGAGUCUUUUAUCUGUCCUAAAAGCACAGGCAAAUAAGGGGUGGGCAAUCCUGGUGUCUGCCGCCGCGGUAAUACCAGCACCUCGGGUGGUCAGGGCGUUUAUUGGGCCUUAAGCAUCCGUAACCGGCUUCGCAAGUCUCCGGUUUAAUCCGCGUGCUCAACAGAUGGGGUGGUGGAGAUUCUACCAAGCUUGGGAGUGGGGGAGGCAGACGGUAUUCCGUGGGUAGGGGUAAAAUCCUCUGAUCCCUCGGGGGCCCCCCGUGGCGGAGGCGGUCUGCCAGGACACGUUUGACGGUGAGGGGUGAAAGCUGGGGGGGCAAACCGGAUUUGGUUCCCGGGUUGUUCCAGCUGUUAACGAUGCAAACUCGGUGAUGCGUUGGCUUAUGGCCAAUGCAGUUCCGCCGGGGAGCCGUUUAGUUUGCCACAUGGGCGGUUCGGUCGCAAGUCUGGAACUUUAAGGACAUUAACGGGGGGGCCCCAGG